UUUGGUCAACUUAAAAUGAGCGUCUGUCUAUGUGAAAUGAAAUAGCAUCAAUCUACGACUGAAUCAUGUCCAUCUUAUGUCUUCCUAAACACCUGAAACUAUGGUAACAAAAUAAAUGAAUGAACGAAAGAGCCUCAACAUUAUUGUGGCCUGCUUCAAACACAACCAUCCAUCAGAAGAAAGAAGGACACAGUGGAUAUGGUGGUCUUUGAAAAGCUGAACGCAGGAGCUGUGUCCAAAUGCCUUUGGUCAUAAGCUGAAUAUAGAUGCCGAUCUUGAGUUGAAAACAACAAUAACAAUGAGAAUGAUAAUUCCUGAAAUAUAUUGACAAAGAAUUAAAUACAGAUACAUAUAUAAAUACA